CGGUGAACGGCUCAGUAACACGUAGUCAACCUGCCCUCGGGACGAGGAUAAUCUCGGGAAACUGAGGCUAAUACUCGAUAGAUCAAGAUUCCUGGAAUGGGUUUUGGUCUCAAAGGGGCAACAGCAUCUUUGUUGUUUUCGCCCGAUGAUGGGACUGCGGCCGAUCAGGCUGUUGGUGGGGUAAAGGCCCACCAAACCAGUAACCGGUACGGGCUUUGAGAGAAGGAGCCCGGAGAUGGACACUGAGACAAGGGUCCAGGUCCUACGGGGCGCAGCAGGCGCGAAACCUUCGCAAUGCGCGUAAGCGCGACGAGGUUAUUCCGAGUGAUCUCCGCUGAGGAGAUCUUUUCUCAGAUCUAAAACGUCUGGGGAAUAAGGGGAGGGCAAGUCUGGUGUCAGCCGCCGCGGUAAUACCAGCUCCUCGAGUGGUCAGGGCGUUUAUUGGGCCUAAAGCAUCCGUAGCCUGCUCGGUAGGUCUCCUGUUAAAUCCAACGGCUCAAUCGUUGGUCUGCAGGAGAUACCGCUGGGCUAGGAGGCGGGAGAGGCGGACGGUACUCCGAGGGUAGGGGUAAAAUCCUUUGAUCCCCGGAAGACCACCAGUGGCGAAGGCGGUCCGCCAGAACGCGCUCGACGGUGAGGGAUGAAAGCUGGGGGAGCGAACCGGAUUAGAUACCCGGGUAGUCCCAGCUGUAAACGAUGCGAGCUAGGUGACACGACGCCUUCGGGGCAUCGUGGUGCCGCAGGGAAGCCGUUAAGCUCGCCGCCUGGGGAUAACGUACGGAAGUCUGACUUAAAGGCAC
rnacentral:rRNA from 1 species